GUUUCACCAUGUUAGCCAGGAUGGUCUCGAUCUCCUGACCUUGUGUUCCGCCCAUCUCGGCCUCCCAAAGUGCUGGGAUUACAGGCAUAAGCCACCACACCCAGCCAAUAGAACUCUUUUUACUUAAAAAUCUCAGGAUUUUUGGGAUCUGAGCUCUUGUCAAAAUUCACUCAAAUUUCACCUUUUCCAGGACAUGAUCUGCUUAUUUAGUCUUUUCUCUCCCUUCUAAAAUGUAUACCCCAUAAGGGCAGAGAUUUUUGUUCUCACUGCUCUCCAGCAUCUGGAACACUGCUUGGCAGAUACUUGAUGCCAAAAAAUAUAUAUAUUUUUUAAUUAAUUAGUGAACAACACAAUUACCAAGCACUUAACUACGAACCAACAGUUCUACUUCACAAUUCACAAAUGAUUCAGUUCUUAAUUAUUAUUUCUGUAAUUUAUGAUGUAUGAAUUUUUUAAGUGUUAUUAAAUACUAGUUGAUAAGCUGGAUAUCACAUUAAUCUUGUAGUUUUUCUUCUCACAGUAUGGCAGAGGGUCCUAUUCUCAAAGGUGCUAUUGGCCUGUACUCCCAGCAUAGAUCCUCCCUGCAUCUUUCUAGUGGGCUCUGUGGGGCUUAGUAAUUUUCUCCCGUAGACAGGCUAUAUUGAGACUUGCCUUGUGACUCUCAACAGCUAAACAAAAGUAAAAGAACUUUAGGAAAUCUUGAGUUCAGAUUUUUUAUAAGAUCUUCACUUCUAGUCUGUUCCCAUUUGGUAAUAUUAUGGUUGAACUGAAUUUCUCCAUUGCCCUUGACUCUAAAGUUCUGGACUUUCUGCUCUUGUUUUCCUCCAUUAUGGAAAAAUGACAAAUCAUUCUGAAAAGUCUAUAUGUUUCAGGUCACUGCUUUGUACCCAGAAAAAAAUACAGGAUAGGUAAGAUGAAGGCUCACAGUCUCAAAUCCUCACAAAGGGCAUGGUAAAUUAAUGAAGGAGUCGGCGUAGCAAAUGUAAGAAUUAUAUUUUUUAUUUGUAUUGUACUGUGGUAUAAGCAUGUAACAUAACUAUAUUGGAGAUUUAAUUUUCUGAUGUAAAAUUCAAAUAUCCAAUUAAAAAUAGGUAUUUUGAUUAUAUUUUUCUUCUAUAAAUAUUUUUGCCUUGAACCAGAGAAAUGUGACAGUUUCUCCUGCCCUAUUUGGGAUCAAUAUUUUAUUCAAAUAAAUAAAAAAGUUUUUCACAGAUACAGUUU
rnacentral:lncRNA from 1 species